UAUGUAUAUUGGUGUGAAAGAGGUAGAACAAUGCAAUUCCAGGAUAAUGCUUCCUUUAGUUUUGCUUAAACAGUGAAGGCAAACUAAGUUUCUCCCAUCUUCAGUCAGUAUGUGAUUCAGGAAAUGCCUGCAUUUUGCCUUGUAUAGAAUUGUACCGUGCUGGUCAUAAUUUCUGAGCUAGUAAUUUUUUUUUUUUUAAUUCUUCAACCCACUUGGCAUUUAAGGGAGACAGCACUAAAAAGGUUAGAAAACAGUUUGUGGGGGAGCAAGAAUAAUUGAAUCCCUGUUCUUUGCUGCCAUGAAUACAGCUUUGCACCAUGAAUAGUGUCAGAUUUCUUAAGCAUAUUGUAGGCACUUCCAAACAAUCAUGCCUUUAGCCUACAUUCUAACAUCCACAAUUGUUAAAACCUUCAGACCAGUUUCCUCUCAGAAAAAGACAGCAUUAUGGUUUGUAACAACAAGAAAAGUCUCCAAUUUCAAGCAUAGCCAGGAGGAAAUAUCAAACUGAAUUUAUUUGGAGGAGGAAAUAGAGUUAGGGAGUAACAAUGACUUUCUCCAGGAUAUAUUCAUGCACUAACAAGCCAGCUUUAAUUCAAAUGUAAACAUCUAUAAGCUUUUGUUUUACAAACCCAGUAUAAUUUUUUUUUUCCUGCAGCUAUGCCUGCUGGCAAAUACUGAUAGACUGGAAAAAAUACUGAGAUGAAAAGUCACCCUAAACACAGGGUUCACACUAGUAGACACUUGGUUUGAGUUAUGCCGCUGUUCAUAACUAUUAUACUGCUGCUAUUAUGUUGCUCUGUUACAUCCUGAUACUAUUCUUCUUGGAGUCAGAUAUGGGAGCAGGAGGGGAGAAUUAUUUUCAGAGUGCUUGUAUCCCUUGUGGUGAUGUUGGGGGAGAAUAGUGGUCUGCAAGAGGCAUUGGACUGAAGUAAAAGAACUUCUGUAGCUUCAGUUAUGUAUGUUCAAAAACACUGAAGGGUAAUUAAAUGUGCAUAAUACAGGUAACUUUGUGGAUGAAAACAAGCAUUUGACAAGUAUGUUCAGUAGCACAUGUUAGAUCUUUUCCGUAGUGGUCAGCAAGAUACUUACAUUUCUGUGGAGGCACCCAACAAGAUUAGAAACUGCUGUAUUCUGUAGUUACCAUCUUCACAUUUUGCCCCUACAGUCUGCCAUGUUUAGCUCCUUUAAAUUAUGCUCAAAGCUGUCAUACACUGUUCCUGUGGCAGUUAAUUUCAACAUAUUUCUGCUGUAAGAAUGGAGCACUAAGGUCCCCUAUAGUCUCACUGUAAUUAGAUGGCUUACCCCUCCUAUCUGUUACAAAGUAUAUUUUAAAUACAGUGUGACUAACAGACUGAAUUUGCCAUCGAGUUUUUUAAUCUUGUAAUUGUGAAGACAGAGGCUAUUAGUAGCGAGAAUUGGAUGGCGCUGUACAGAUUAAAAUAAUCCCAGUUAUUCAAAAUGCUUUAUUAAAAUUGCACAGUAACAAGAUACAGUCACAGACCUGCAGAUAACCUUUCUGUUCUGAAGUAUUUCACUUGGAGGUAAGUCCUGUUUGCUGUGAAACGCAAAUGGCCAUGAGCAGUUAGCUCUAUAAAAACAUGCAGGGGAGCUACACUAGUUGCAGAUGCCAAAUGUUGUCUUUAGCAACUGUUGCCCUGUCAACAUAUGCAACUUCACUCUGCCCACAUCUUUAUAUCAAAUUUUUUUCAUCCACCUUUUGGCAUUGUGCUAACAUGUACUCUAUUGUUUUUAGAGAGGGGAGAAAUACAACUGAGAAGACUCACUUAAGUGUGCAGGGGAAGAUACUGGCAAAUUUGAUGUUAGCUGUUAGGUAUGUGUUAGACUCUAGUCUGUGCUUCUUAACUAAGAUUUCCCAGUGAAGUCUGCUCUUUACCAGUAUAGAACAGGAGUUGCACCAUCUAAGACCACUGGGUUUGCCUUCCCCACAUCUGACACAAAUUCUGGGGACCAAGAAAAGUUUUUCUCAUUAAGAAGUGGCUCUCAAAGCUAAUUAAUACAGCAGACUGACUAUCUAUUGAAUGUAGCUGUAUUUCUUGAGCAGGCAAUCUUAGCUCACUUAAAGGAGAAAAUCCACCCAGUCAGGAAUGUUGCUCACCAAGUGUGACAACUGACAAUUGGUAAAGUGAAUGAGAGGCUUAGGUUCACAGGUGCCUCCGACCUGACCUACCUUCAGCCAGACUAUGAUUACUUAAAGAGAAAUAACACCCCAAUCUUUGUACUUUCUAAAGGCAGCUCAGUUUUGGUUCAAACAGAGGGAGUGGCUAUGGAAAGUUGGCCUAAGGAACAGAAGCGUUUGUUUUCCAAACUUUUUAAAAAAAAAAAAACUCCUGCAAGUUUGUUUCGAUACCAAGAUAAUUGUUCACUACUUGAAAGAACUAUGGGUACAUUAGGAAGAAAAAAGGCUGUUUCCUGAAACGCAGAACGUGAGGUAACCAUGCAGAGACCUACCAGUGCUACAAUUAUAUGUACAGUCUUUUACAGCCAUUGUGUUUAAAUCACUAUUGCCAAGUGCUAUAGCUUAAUGCAAGACCUUUUGCUUCCCACCCUCUCCAAAAUUGUGGAAGAUGACUCAUGCUUGGUUAACAGGAGAGAAAUCAAGAACAUGCUAGAAGUGAUGCUUUAAGGAACUACUGGGAACAAGUAAAUGCAGGCAGGGGCUGGGUUGUACUGAAACCGUGUCUUGGUGGCAAGUAAAUCUUCGUGUCAUACAGUGGUGGGAAACUAUGGGGGUAGAGGCUGAUGCAGUAGUUCUACAAAUUAAGUCCACCCUUUCCUGUGAAAAAUGGGAUAGCACUGUUUAGAGGAUGGGAGGGUAUUAAGCAGAAGGAAUAGAGCAGGUGGGACAGUAGUUCUUUAAGGGAAGAUGAUACACAGGAAAAACAGGACAAUACAUUUGGAUCUGAGCACUCUGAUUGUGAAUGUAAGGCUUCUCUGAAUCGUUAAAAACAAGGCUGGUCAUCCUUUGAGAUUUCCUAAUGGAGUGAUUAUCUUAACUAAAGAGGGUCAACUUAUUAAAAGACAAUAAUAAUGUGUCUUUCUAGAGCACAUGAAUCAUUUAAUUUUUCCAGUUUUUAACUAGUUUUCCAUUGAUUUCCAGUAAGACGGAUAUCUCAAAUGAGCAUAAAUGUGUUGGGCACUUACUUACGUGCCAUUUAAAUUCAGUUGGCUCUGAGUAUGUAGUUCCCUUGGGUCCUUUGAAAAGCCAAGAUUCUGUUGGUGUUACAUUGCCUAACUCCUGGGUUUUAGGGUUGGGUUGUGUUUUUUUCCGCCUUUGAACAUGCUAAAAUCUCCCUAAUGGAGUAAUAACUCAGUGAAAGCUAAAUCCCACCACUGGCUGAGGAACACAGAGACCUACAAAAACAAUGGUGAGGUGGGGGCUUGGGGUGGAAUUGUUUGUUUACGACAAAGCUGUGUAUUGCCCUGAUCCUGUAUCAGUGAAGUUGGUUGAAUUCUCAUUACUGGUUUUGUACUGGUAUACGUAAGGGAAAUAAUACCAUUAGCAAGAUGUUUUAAUACUUUGCAUCCAAAUUUAAUAUUUUUAAUCUGUUGCAACUGUUGUCUCCAUUUCAUUUCCCUUGUUCAGUUCUCCUCCACUGUUUUGGUUCCUCCCCACUUCUGUUACAUUUUUGUCCUCUUCCAAAAGCAGAACAAAACCCCUCUUUCCUUUGACGUUUUCUCCCCCUUCCCCCUUAUCUAUUCCUCCCGCAACUGACUCAGUUUAGCAGAGAGGUGACCAAAGCUGCGCAUUGAGCUGUGCCUUUACUCGCUGGGGAAUGCCAAACCUGCACUGGCAAGAGAAGUUCAGCUUUUGAGAUCCUUUUCAGGACUGACUGCUGCUUUUGCAUUUUGAAGUUUGUGGAAAUCACGGUUAACCUUCUGGUGCUGAUUUGUGUGGGCGCUGCCCAAGCCUCUGUUGCAGGCUUCACGUCCCUUGGUGGCUUCGGCACUGGAUCCUUUAGCCUGAAUUCGGCCU